GUCUGGCUAGGCGUCGCGGACUCCGGAGAUGGAGGAAAAGGAGCAGCUGCGGCGGCAGAUACGCCUCCUGCAGGGUCUAAUUGAUGACUAUAAAACACUCCACGGCAAUGGCCCUGCCCUGGGCAACUCAUCAGCUACUCGGUGGCAGCCACCCAUGUUCCCGGGUGGCAGGACCUUUGGCGCCCGCUACUCCCGUCCAAGUCGGAGGGGCUUCUCCUCACACCAUGGCCCUUCGUGGCGCAAGAAAUACUCCCUUGUGAAUCAGCCUGUGGAAUCUUCUGACCCAGCCAGCGAUCCUGCUUUUCAGACAUCCCUCAGGUCUGAGGAUAGCCAGCAUCCUGAACCCCAGCAGUAUGUACUGGAGAGACAGGUCCAGCUCAGUCCAGAUCAGAAUAUGGUUAUUAAGAUCAAGCCACCAUCAAAGUCAGGUGCCAUCAAUGCUUCAGGGGUCCAGCGGGGGUCCUUGGAAGGCUGUGAUGACCCCUCUUGGAGUGGCCAAAGACCCCAAGGAAGUGAGGUUGAGGUCCCUGGUGGACAACUGCAGCCUGCAAGGCCAGGAAGAACCAAGGUGGGUUACAGUGUGGACGACCCCCUCUUGGUCUGCCAGAAGGAGCCUGGCAAGCCUCGGGUAGUGAAGUCUGUGGGCAGGGUGAGUGACAGCUCUCCCGAGCAUCGGCGGACAGUCAGUGAAAAUGAAGUGGCCCUCAGGGUACACUUCCCAUCUGUCCUGCCCCAUCACACUGCUGUGGCUCUGGGCAGGAAGGUAGGCCCUCAUUCUACCAGCUAUUCUGAACAGUUCAUUGGAGACCAAAGAGCAAACACUGGCCACUCAGACCAGCCAGCUUCCUUGGGGCCAGUGGUGGCUUCAGUCAGACCAGCAACAGCCAGGCAGGUCAGGGAGGCCUCACUGCUCGUGUCCUGUCGAACCAGCAAGUUUCGGAAAAACAACUACAAAUGGGUAGCUGCCUCAGAAAAGAGCCCACGGGUCGCUCGGAGAGCCCUCAGUCCCAGAACAACUCUGGAGAGCGGGAACAAGGCCACUUUGGGUACAGUUGGAAAGACAGAGAAGCCACAGCCUAAAGUUGACCCAGAGGUGAGGCCGGAGAAACUGGCCACACCAUCCAAGCCUGGCCUCUCUCCCAGCAAGUACAAGUGGAAGGCUUCCAGCCCGUCUGCUUCCUCCUCUUCCUCUUUCCGUUGGCAGUCUGAGGCUGGCAGCAAGGACCAUACUUCUCAGCUCUCCCCAGUCCCAUCUAGGCCCACAUCAGGGGACAGACCAGCAGGGGGACCCAGCAGCUUGAAGCCCCUCUUUGGAGAGUCACAGCUCUCAGCUUACAAAGUGAAGAGCCGGACCAAGAUUAUCCGGAGGCGGGGCAAUACCAGCAUUCCUGGGGACAAGAAGAACAGCCCUACAACUGCCACCACCAGCAAAAACCAUCUUACCCAGCGACGGAGACAGGCCCUCCGGGGGAAGAAUAGCCCGGUUCUAAGGAAGACUCCCCACAAGGGUCUGAUGCAGGUCAACAGGCACCGGCUCUGCUGCCUGCCGUCCAGCCGGACCCACCUCUCCACCAAGGAAGCUUCCAGUGUGCACAUGGGGAUUCCACCCUCCAAUAAGGUGAUCAAGACCCGCUACCGCAUUGUUAAGAAGACCCCAAGCUCUUCCUUUGGUGCUCCAUCCUUCCCCUCAUCUCUACCCUCCUGGCGGGCCCGGCGCAUCCCAUUAUCCAGAUACUGUGGUUAGAGAUUUGGCCACUCCUGAUCAUUGCUAAAGGACCUUGGCUGGGUCCCUAGUGCUAAACCGCCUUCGUCCAGCAAUCACUGGGGGAGGGAAAGCCCCACCUGGUACCCCUCGAUGGCGCAACAAAGGCUACCGCUGCAUUGGAGGGGUUCUGUACAAGGUGUCUGCCAACAAGCUCUCCAAAACUUCUAGCAGGCCCAGUGAUGGCAACAGGACCCUCCUCCGCACAGGACGCCUGGACCCUGCUACCACCUGCAGUCGUUCCUUGGCCAGCCGGGCCAUCCAGCGGAGCCUGGCUAUCAUCCGGCAGGCGAAGCAGAAGAAAGAGAAGAAGAGAGAGUACUGCAUGUACUACAACCGCUUUGGCAGGUGUAACCGUGGCGAAUGCUGCCCCUACAUCCAUGACCCUGAGAAGGUGGCCGUGUGCACCAGAUUUGUCCGAGGCACAUGCAAGAAGACAGAUGGGUCCUGCCCUUUCUCUCACCAUGUGUCCAAGGAAAAGAUGCCUGUGUGCUCCUACUUUCUGAAGGGGAUCUGCAGCAACAGCAACUGCCCCUACAGCCAUGUGUACGUGUCCCGCAAGGCUGAAGUCUGCAGUGACUUCCUCAAAGGCUACUGCCCAUUGGGUGCAAAGUGCAAGAAGAAGCACACGCUGCUGUGUCCUGACUUUGCCCGCAGGGGUAUUUGUCCCCGUGGCUCCCAGUGCCAGCUGCUCCAUCGUAACCAGAAGCGACAUGGCCGGCGGACAGCUGCACCUCCUAUCCCUGGGCCCAGUGAUGGAGCCCCCAGAAGCAAGGCCUCAGCUGGCCACGUACUCAGGAAGCCUACUACUACUCAGCGCUCUGUCAGACAGAUGUCCAGUGGUCUGGCUUCCGGAGCUGAGGCCCCAGCCUCCCCACCUCCCUCCCCAAGGGUAUUAGCCUCCACCUCUACCCUGUCUUCAAAGGCCACCGCUGCCUCCUCUCCUUCCCCCUCUCCCUCUACUAGCUCCCCAGCCCCUUCCUUGGAGCAGGAAGAAGCUGUCUCUGGGACAGGCUCAGGAACAGGCUCCAGUGGCCUCUGCAAGCUGCCAUCCUUCAUCUCCCUGCACUCCUCCCCAAGCCCAGGAGGACAGACUGAGACUGGGCCCCAGGCCCCCAGGAGCCCUCGCACCAAGGACUCAGGGAAGCCGCUACACAUCAAACCACGCCUGUGAGGCCCCCUGAGGACCAGCCCGCACCUACCUCAGACCCUCACCCCUGGAGAGGAUGAAGGCUCUACCCACAACUGCUCCUGAGGAGAAGCAGCCUGCCACUGAGCCCAGCUGGGGCUCUAACCAGGAGUCAUAGCUCCUCCCACUUGGCUCCUAGCCUCUGGAGGCCUUUGUGUGCCCAGGCCUUGUUCUCCCUCAAGCCAAGGCCCUGUCCAUUCCCUGUUCCUCUCCCUCCCCUUCUCCCCUCCUCCCCUCUGCCCCUCCUCCCCUCCAAGGCACCCAGCCUCACUCUAGGACUUGUCCCUGGCUCCCCAUCCAUCAGGGUGCCAUGUGAGGUUCAUCCCAGCCUGUCUCCUGUGGUGGCAUUGGCAGCUGUAGGACUGGUGCCCCCAACCCUCCCUACCCAGGACUCCUGCCCAGGGAAGAGGCUAAUGGCCAGGCCUCUCUGGUGGGUAUUUUAUGUUCAGCAAUAAAGGUUUUAUCCUGUGUCUA